rnacentral:rRNA from 1 species
AUUGAACGCUGGCGGCAGGCCUAACACAUGCAAGUCGAGCGAGCGGCGGACGGGUGAGUAACGUAUAGGGACUGCCCGCUAGAGGGGGAUAUCAACUGUAAACAGUAGCUAAUAUACCAUACUAUCGGAUAACCCAUAUGGGAUUAGCUAGUGGGUGGGGUAAUGGCUCACCUAGGCGACGAUCCCUAGCUGGUCUGAGAGGAUGAUCAGCCACCCUGGGACUGAGACACGGCCCAGACUCCUACGGAGGCAGCAGUGGGGAAUAUUGCACAAUGGGCGCAAGCCUGAUGCGGCCAUGCCGCGUGUAUGAAGAAGGCCCUAGGGUUGUAAAGUACUUUCAGUGGGGAGGCGUUACCGACAGAAGAAGCACCGGCUAACUCCGUGCCAGCAGCCGCGGUAAUUC